AUUGAACGCUGGCGGAAUGCUUUACACAUGCAAGUCGAACGGCAGCACGGACUUCGGUCUGGUGGCGAGUGGCGAACGGGUGAGUAAUGUAUCGGAACGUGCCCAGUCGGGGGGGAUAACGUAGUGAAAAUUACGCUAAUACAGCAUCCGAUCUAAGGAUGAAAGCGGGGGAUCGCAAGACCUAGCGCGAUUCGAGCGGCCGAUAUCAGAUUAGGUAGUUGGUGGGGUAAAGGCUCACCAAGCCAACGAUCUGCAGCUGGUCUGAGAGGACGACCAGCCACACUGGAACUGAGACACGGUCCAGACUCCUACGGGAGGCAGCAGUGGGGAAUUUUGGACAAUGGGCGAAAGCCUGAUCCAGCCAUUCCGCGUGCAGGAUGAAGGCCCUCGGGUUGUAAACUGCUUUUGUACAGAACGAAAAGGUUUCUACUAAUACUAGGAGCUCAUGACGGUACUGUAAGAAUAAGCACCGGCUAACUACGUGCCAGCCGCCGCCGUAA
rnacentral:rRNA from 1 species